CGGGUUUUCCUGGGUUCCGUCCCCGUGGCCGUCGCCGCGGCGCCGUGUCUUUUCGUUGUCGUCCUGCGUCAUCAGUUCCCCUUCUUCGCUGUUCUGGUGGGUUUCGUCCUCGUGGCCGCCGCCGUCGCCAUUGGAGCGCCUGCGGCGGCCUCCUCCGACGUGGCAGUGCCUGCUGUGUUGAUGUCGUCGGGCCACAGUGGUGGGCGCAGCGACGUGCCGGCAACCUGUCGCGGUGAACCC
rnacentral:lncRNA from 1 species